AGUGAACGCUGGCGGUAGGCCUAACACAUGCAAGUCGAACGGCAGCACAGUAAGAGCUUGCUCUUACGGGUGGCGAGUGGCGGACGGGUGAGGUAUACAUCGGAAUCUACUUUUUCGUGGGGGAUAACGUAGGGAAACUUACGCUAAUACCGCAUACUACCUACGGGUGAAAGCAGGGGAUCUUCGGACCUUGCGCGAUUGAAUUAGCCGAUGUCGGAUUAGCUAGUUGGCGGGGUAAAGGCCCACCAAGGCGACGAUGCGUAGCUGGUCUGAGAGGAUGAUCAGCCACACUGGAACUGAGACACGGUCCAGACUCCUACGGGAGGCAGCAGUGGGGAAUAUUGGACAAUGGGCGCAAGCCUGAUCCAGCCAUACCGCGUGGGUGAAGAAGGCCUUCGGGUUGUAAAGCCCUUUUGUUGGGAAAGAAAAGCAGCAGGUUAAUACCCCGCUGUUCUGACGGUACCCAACGAAUAAGCACCGGCUAACUUCGUG
rnacentral:rRNA from 1 species